rnacentral:snRNA from 1 species
UUACUUAUUUGGCAGUGGAGAUACCAUGAUCAUUCAUGGUUUUCCUGGGGUGAAGCUUAUCCAUUGCACUCCAGAUAUGCUGACCCCUGUGAUUUCCCUGGGUGUGGGAAACUCACUGCAUAAUUAGUGGCAGUGAGGGGCUGCAUUCCUGCUAUCCCUUC